UAACGCGUGGGAAUCUGCGCUGGAGUGGGGGAUAACCGAGGGAAACCUCGGCUAAUACCGGAUACGUCCUGAGGGAGAAAGAUUUAUCGCUCUAGGAGGGGCCCGCGUCGGAUUAGCUAGUUGGUGAGGUAACGGCUCACCAAGGGGACGAUCCGUAGCUGAUCUGAGAGGAUGAUCAGCCACACUGGGACUGGGACACGGCCCAGACUCCUACGGGGGGGAGCAGUGGGGAAUAUUGGGCAAUGGGGGGAACCCUGAUCCAGCAAUGCCGCGUGAGUGAUGAAGGCCUUAGGGUUGU
rnacentral:rRNA from 1 species